CAAUAACGGAGAGACAAUCUGAGAUGCAGGCAUAAGCCAGAUGCCAUGGUGAUCAAGUUGUCUGAAACACAUCCCCGUUCAGGAGAACAAGGUACACACCACGGUGCACCUAACGAACCAGAACAGAUGUCAUAGGACGUUUAACAGUAACACAGAAGAUCAUCUGCCUGAUCCUGGGCUACACUCCUUCCCCCUUGAAAAGAGGAAGCAGCCUUCAUAGACAUUCCACCCGAACCAACCCCACUCCACAUCUGUUCCCUGUCCAUGAAGGAGUGACAUGAAAUAGGAACAAACUCUUCCUCUCAAGGCAGCCUGAGGGUCCACCAUGAGAUACUGGACAAGAUGAAGUAGGUCUGAAGUACUGCCAUUCCACAAAAGGAAGAACAAUUCAGAGCAACUCAGAACCUGAGCCCUCUGUUGCCUGAAGUUACACGUAACGGUUGCCCAUCCCCUGUUGAAUCCAAGGCAACAGUUACCUGAACUGAGAAGUGAGCUCUGGGCUGGGAGGAGUGGACCAGGUGUGGGCUGCGGCAGUUAGAGUAACCCCCUGCCUAGCUCUCGGAGAGGACACUUCACUGCAGCUCUGGCCACACACAGCCCCAUUGAAUAGUUUUCUCACCAAGACCAUCUCUCCCCACGGCCCCCUGAGAUACAGUAUGCUCCUGUUUAAAUCCCUUUGAAAGAUAUGGUGAGGCAAGCUUCAGGUGCCUCAGGAACACAAUACAGCUCUAGGCUUUCCUCAUGACCCUCCCUGUGUCACCACCAGGACAUCACACACAUCCUUACACACACGUUUCAAAGUGGCUUGUCUCCCUUCUAGAAAGAAUCAAACUGUCUGCUGCCAUCCUUUCUCCAUAGCCAGGGCAAUUCCUCUUGAUCCACCUCCAACGACCCCUCCUCCCCAGGGCAGUCUCAGGUUUCUUCAGGCUCCCCAGUCUCCCCAGGUGAAAUGUCCUUUGUGCGUCCAGUGCUCUCUUCUCCCUCUACUUCAGUCCAACUAUGUGCCCACAGUUAAGUGUAACGUGUGAACCCGAAGGAUGUGAGGAUGGCAGGGUCUCUGAGAACACACCCCCAGCCUAUAGGCUUACCUCCUAUUGAAGCCAUCCUGCAGGCUUGGGCACGGACUACUGCUGCCUGGAAGCCUCAAUGAGAAAAGUCAAGACCAGGAGCCAGAGAGCGACCUGCUUCAGCAAACGCUCGGGAUCCAAGUCAACGAGGGACACGUUUGAAAGAUGAACUGACCCUUUUAUUCACUAUUCUACAUCAAGCUGCAAACCCAUCAGAGGGAACCAUGUGAUCACUGUAGCCACCAGCUGACCCCACAGCCACCUUGUGCCUCCCUUGGAGCCACCCAAGCAUUUCUGCGCCUUCUUUAUGGUGCAUUUUAAAAAGAUGGCAGAGAUGAGAGUUCCUGAGAAGACCAGAAAGACAUUUGCAUCUCAAAGAUACA